UCACACUUGAAAGAGAGAGAAGAAAGAAAGAGAGAGACAGAGAGAGACAGAGAGAGAGAAAGAGGAAAGAGUGUGUGAAAACAGAAAUUUGUCAUACAUCAACUAUCACUGUCGAUCAAUAAAUCAUUCACAGAGUAGAGGAAGGAAUUUUGGAACGUGCAUUCAAAUAUUUUUCGUGUACAUUUCGAUAACAAGAUUUGUUCGGGUCGAUUGGAACAGUGGAGAAUUGGUGAUGCGGACUGCCAAGUGGAUAAAGAAUAGAGA